rnacentral:lncRNA from 1 species
UCGGUCGCUCGCUCAGCUCUUGCUCGCCAGCGCCGCCGGCGCGUUGACAGUCGCCGGCACGGAGGCCGCUGGUCCGAGUGCGUGUGUGCCGCUGCAGCGAGCCAGCGCCUCGCCACGAAGCACGCCCCAUGUCGGAAAGAUCGAAUGAGGACCCGGGCUGUGUUCCGGUCUUGACUUGGCGCAGUUCAGGCUCGGACGCCACGCGGUGCGGCGAUCGUCUUGAUGCGGCGCUGGAACCUGCGUAAGUCGCUCCAUAUAACCCGGGACCCGAAGCGGCUACAGCAUCUCUUGGAAAUGGGUGGCGAAAGCUUCUCCAAGCGGCCGCAGGCGCUUUGCUCGAGUUUAAUCGCACGCGUUCGUGCAU